rnacentral:rRNA from 1 species
GGGUUGUGAGGUUAAGCGACUAAGCGUACACGGUGGAUGCCUAGGCAAUCAGAGGCGAUGAAGGACGUGCUAAUCUGCGAUAAGCGUCGGUAAGGUGAUAUGAACCGUGAUAACCGACGAUUUCCGAAUGGGGAAACCCAGUGCAAUUCGUUGCACUAUCGUUUGAUGAAUACAUAGUCAAACGAAGCGAACCGGGGGAACUGAAACAUCUCAGUACCCCGAGGAAAAGAAAUCAACCGAGAUUCCCCUAGUAGCGGCGAGCGAACGGGGAGCAGCCCAGAGUCUUAAUCAGCAUUAGCAUCAGGAGAACGGUCUGGAAAGGCCGGCAGUAAAGGGUGAUAGCCCCGUAUCCGAAGGUGUUAGUGUUGUGAACUCGACGAGUAGGGCGGGACACGUGUUAUCCUGUCUGAAUAUGGGGGACCAUCCUCCAAGGCUAAAUACUCCUGAUUGACCGAUAGUGAACCAGUACCGUGAGGGAAAGGCGAAAAGAACCCCGGCGAGGGGAGUGAAAUAGAACCUGAAACCGUGUACGUACAAGCAGUGGGAGCCCCACCACCAAAGCAUUUUCUGGUGUUGAGGACAACUUUGAAGUGACAUUCAACACGCGUUGGCGGAGCGUUUUUUGCGACGCCCAACACACAAAACAAGCAGUGAAUGUGCUUUGGGGUGGGGUGACUGCGUACCUUUUGUAUAAUGGGUCAGCGACUUAUAUUCUGUAGCAAGGUUAACCGUAUAGGGGAGCCGUAGGGAAACCGAGUCUUAACUGGGCGAAUGAGUUGCAGGGUAUAGACCCGAAACCCGGUGAUCUAGCCAUGGGCAGGUUGAAGGUUGGGUAACACUAACUGGAGGACCGAACCGACUAAUGUUGAAAAAUUAGCGGAUGACUUGUGGCUGGGGGUGAAAGGCCAAUCAAACCGGGAGAUAGCUGGUUCUCCCCGAAAGCUAUUUAGGUAGCGCCUCGUGAACUCAUCUUCGGGGGUAGAGCACUGUUUCGACUAGGGGGUCAUCCCGACUUACCAACUCGAUGCAAACUACGAAUACCGAAGAAUGUUAUCACGGGAGACACACGGCGGGUGCUAACGUUCGUCGUGAAGAGGGAAACAACCCAGACCGCCAGCUAAGGUCCCAAAGUCAUAGUUAAGUGGGAAACGAAGUGGGAAGGCUCAGACAGCCAGGAUGUUGGCUUAGAAGCAGCCAUCAUUUAAAGAAAGCGUAAUAGCUCACUGGUCGAGUCGGCCUGCGCGGAAGAUGUAACGGGGCUAAACUAUGCACCGAAGCUGCGGCAGCGAUAUGUAAAUAUUGUUGGGUAGGGGAGCGUUCUGUAAGCCUGUGAAGGUGUACUGUGAGGUAUGCUGGAGGUAUCAGAAGUGCGAAUGCUGACAUAAGUAACGAUAAUGCGGGUGAAAAACCCGCACGCCGGAAGACCAAGGGUUCCUGUCCAACGUUAAUCGGGGCAGGGUGAGUCGACCCCUAAGGCGAGGCAGAAAUGCGUAGUCGAUGGGAAACGGGUUAAUAUUCCCGUACUGGUGAUAAUUGCGAUGGGGGGACGGAGAAGGCUAGGCUAUCCGGGCGACGGUUGUCCCGGUUUAAGGAUGUAGGCAGGUGAAUUAGGCAAAUCCGGUUCAUUAUAUGCUGAGGUCCGACGACGAGUCACUACGGUGAUGAAGUAGCUCAUGCCCCGCUUCCAGGAAAAGCCUCUAAGCUCUAGAUUAUCAUUAAUCGUACCCCAAACCGACACAGGUGGUCAGGUAGAGAAUACUCAGGCGCUUGAGAGAACUCGGGUGAAGGAACUAGGCAAAAUGGUGCCGUAACUUCGGGAGAAGGCACGCUGGCGCUAGGUGAAGUCCCUCGCGGAUGGAGCUGAAGCCAGUCGCAGAUACCAGCUGGCUGCAACUGUUUAUUAAAAACACAGCACUGUGCAAACACGAAAGUGGACGUAUACGGUGUGACGCCUGCCCGGUGCUGGAAGGUUAAUUGAUGGGGUUAUCCGUAAGGAGAAGCUCUUGAUCGAAGCCCCAGUAAACGGCGGCCGUAACUAUAACGGUCCUAAGGUAGCGAAAUUCCUUGUCGGGUAAGUUCCGACCUGCACGAAUGGCGUAAUGAUGGCCAGGCUGUCUCCACCCGAGACUCAGUGAAAUUGAACUCGCUGUGAAGAUGCAGUGUACCCGCGGCAAGACGGAAAGACCCCGUGAACCUUUACUAUAGCUUGACACUGAACAUUGAGCCUUGAUGUGUAGGAUAGGUGGGAGGCUUUGAAGUGUGGACGCCAGUCUGCAUGGAGCCAACCUUGAAAUACCACCCUUUAAUGUUUGAUGUUCUAACGUAGCCCCGUUAUCCGGGGUGCGGACAGUGUCUGGUGGGUAGUUUGACUGGGGCGGUCUCCUCCCAAAGAGUAACGGAGGAGCACGAAGGUUGGCUAAGCAUGGUCGGACAUCAUGCGGUUAGUGCAAAGGCAUAAGCCAGCUUGACUGCGAGAGUGACGGCUCGAGCAGGUACGAAAGUAGGUCUUAGUGAUCCGGUGGUUCUGAAUGGAAGGGCCAUCGCUCAACGGAUAAAAGGUACUCCGGGGAUAACAGGCUGAUACCGCCCAAGAGUUCAUAUCGACGGCGGUGUUUGGCACCUCGAUGUCGGCUCAUCACAUCCUGGGGCUGAAGUAGGUCCCAAGGGUACGGCUGUUCGCCGUUUAAAGUGGUACGCGAGCUGGGUUUAGAACGUCGUGAGACAGUUCGGUCCCUAUCUGCCGUGGGCGUUGGAAGAUUGAAAGGGGCUGCUCCUAGUACGAGAGGACCGGAGUGGACGCACCACUGGUGUUCGGGUUGUCAUGCCAAUGGCAUUGCCCGGUAGCUAAGUGCGGAAGAGAUAACCGCUGAAAGCAUCUAAGCGGGAAACUUGCCUUGAGAUGAGUCUUCCCUGACUCUUUAAGGGUCCUAAAGGAACGUUUAAGACUAAGACGUUGAUAGGUUGGGUGUGUAAGCGUAGCGAUACGUUGAGCUAACCAAUACUAAUGAACCGUGAGGCUUAACCUGACAACACCGAAGGUGUUUUAG